rnacentral:rRNA from 1 species
GAGUUUGAUCCUGGCUCAGGAUGAACGCUGGCGGCGUGCCUAAUACAUGCAAGUCGAGCGAACAGAUGAGAAGCUUGCUUCUCUGAUGUUAGCGGCGGACGGGUGAGUAACACGUGGGUAACCUACCUAUAAGACUGGGAUAACUCCGGGAAACCGGGGCUAAUACCGGAUAAUAUAUUGAACCGCAUGGUUCAAUGUUGAAAGACGGUUUCGGCUGUCACUUAUAGAUGGACCCGCGCCGUAUUAGCUAGUUGGUAAGGUAACGGCUUACCAAGGCAACGAUACGUAGCCGACCUGAGAGGGUGAUCGGCCACACUGGAACUGAGACACGGUCCAGACUCCUACGGGAGGCAGCAGUAGGGAGUCUUCCGCAAUGGGCGAAAGCCUGACGGAGCAACGCCGCGUGAGUGAUGAAGGUCUUAGGAUCGUAAAACUCUGUUGUUAGGGAAGAACAAAUUUGUUAGUAACUGAACAAGUCUUGACGGUACCUAACCAGAAAGCCACG